AUGCACCUCGGGUACCUCAUCCUCGCAGCCUUCCUGAGGCAACCACUGGGCACCAUGGGGCAGAUCACUGUCACCCAGCAAGAAGGAGAAAUUGCAAUACAGGAAGGAGACGCCUUCAAAACAACCUGCACUUACCAGGGCCCUAACUUUUAUGGCCUCACCUGGUACCAGCAGAGGAAAGGCCAAGCUCCUCAGCUGGUCUUGUUUCAGGCAGCAGCUGGCUCCAAGCACAGAGGCCGUCUCACCACCUUGCUGAAUACCACAGGGAAAUACAGCCUCCUGCAGCUGGAGGAGGUCGAGGGCUCUGACAGUGCCUUGUACCUCUGUGCUACUGUCCUCGAUACUUUUAGACUGGCUAAGGGCAGUGAAGCUGAGACAAAGAGUAAGAAGCUGAAAGACAAAGAACUGAAUCAUAAAGGGAAACUGAGGUCCAGCCGGACAUGA